rnacentral:rRNA from 1 species
UACGUAGGUGGCGAGCGUUGUCCGGAUUUACUGGGCGUAAAGGGAGCGUAGGCGGACUUUUAAGUGAGAUGUGAAAUACUCGGGCUCAACUUGAGUGCUGCAUUUCAAACUGGAAGUCUAGAGUGCAGGAGAGGAGAAUGGAAUUCCUAGUGUAGCGGUGAAAUGCGUAGAUAUAUGGAAGAACACCAGUGGCGAAGGCGAUUCUCUGGACUGUAACUGACGCUGAGGCUCGAAAGCGUGGGGAGCAAACAGG